AGCAUAUCAAUAAGCGGAGGAAAAGAAACCAACAGGGAUUGCCUAGUAACGGCGAGUGAAGCGGCAACAGCUCAAAUUUGAAAUCUGGCCCUCGGGUCCGAGUUGUAAUUUGUAGAGGAUGCUUUUGGUGCGGUGCCUUCCGAGUUCCCUGGAACGGGACGCCAUAGAGGGUGAGAGCCCCGUCUGGUUGGACACCAAGCCUCUGUAAAGCUCCUUCGACGAGUCGAGUAGUUUGGGAAUGCUGCUCUAAAUGGGAGGUAUAUGUCUUCUAAAGCUAAAUACCGGCCAGAGACCGAUAGCGCACAAGUAGAGUGAUCGAAAGAUGAAAAGCACUUUGAAAAGAGGGUUAAAUAGUACGUGAAAUUGUUGAAAGGGAAGCGCUUAUGACCAGACUUGAGCCCGGUUAAUCAUCCAGCCUUCUGGCUGGUGCACUUGGCCGGCUCAGGCCAGCAUCAGUUCGGCGCGGGGGAUAAAGGCUUCGGGAAUGUGGCUCCUCCGGGAGUGUUAUAGCCCGUUGUGUAAUACCCUGUACUGGACUGAGGUUCGCGCAUCUGCAAGGAUGCUGGCGUAAUGGUCAUCAGCGACCCGUCUUGAAACACGGACCAAGGAGUCGUCUUCGUAUGCGAGUGUUCGGGUGUCAAACCCCUACGCGUAAUGAAAGUGAACGCAGGUGAGAGCUUCGGCGCAUCAUCGACCGAUCCUGAUGUUCUCGGAUGGAUUUGAGUAAGAGCAUACGGAGCCGGACCCGAAAGAAGGUGAACUAUGCCUGUAUAGGGUGAAGCCAGAGGAAACUCUGGUGGAGGCUCGCAGCGGUUCUGACGUGCAAAUCGAUCGUCAAAUAUGGGCAUGGGGGCGAAAGACUAAUCGAACCUUCUAGUAGCUGGUUUCCGCCGAA
rnacentral:rRNA from 1 species